rnacentral:rRNA from 1 species
UCCAGACUCCUACGGGAGGCAGCAGUGAGGAAUAUUGGUCAAUGGGCGGGGGCCUGAACCAGCCAAGUCGCGUGAGGGAAGACGGUCCUACGGAUUGUAAACCUCUUUUGCCGGGGAGCAACGGGGUCCUUGCGAGGGCCCGAUGAGAGUACCCGGAGAAAAAGCAUCGGCUAACUCCGUGCCAGCAGCCGCGGUAAUACGGAGGAUGCGAGCGUUAUCCGGAUUUAUUGGGUUUAAAGGGUGCGCAGGCGGUCUGUUAAGUCAGCGGUCAAAGCCCGGGGCUCAACCCCGGUCCGCCGUUGAAACUGGCAGUCUCGAGUUGGAGAGAAGUAUGCGGAAUGCGCGGUGUAGCGGUGAAAUGCAUAGAUAUCGCGCAGAACUCCGAUUGCGAAGGCAGCAUGCCGGCUCCACACUGACGCUGAGGCACGAAAGCGUGGGUAUCGAACAGGAUUAGAUACCCGCGUA